GCGGGUAUAGCUCAAUGGUAGAGCUCUAGCCUUCCAAGCUAGUGAAGUGGGUUCGAUUCCCACUAUCCGCUC
rnacentral:tRNA from 1 species